UACGUAGGGUGCGAGCGUUGUCCGGAAUUAUUGGGCGUAAAGGGCUCGUAGGCGGUCUGUUGCGUCGGGAGUGAAAACUCAGGGCUUAACCCUGAGCCUGCUUCCGAUACGGGCAGACUAGAGGUAUGCAGGGGAGAACGGAAUUCCUGGUGUAGCGGUGAAAUGCGCAGAUAUCAGGAGGAACACCGGUGGCGAAGGCGGUUCUCUGGGCCUGUUCUGACGCUGAGGCGCGAAAGCUAGGGGAGCGAACAGG
rnacentral:rRNA from 1 species